rnacentral:lncRNA from 1 species
GAUCCUGCAGAGUAACAUUACUAUUAGUAAAGGUGAUAGAACAAUUAAGGGAACGAGUUAAACGACUGACUGACAGUAAAUUAAAUGGGCAAUUAGGUACAUAUAGGACAGAAGUCACAGAGAGAGAUGGUAAAAUUUGAACAGUACCAAUCCCUUGCGGUCGAGUUUGAGAACCAUUUGCGGAAGUUAUACUCGGUAAGAAACCAAAGGUAGAGAGGGAAGAAAAAAGACCUUUAUUACCGGUAACAUGAUCAGACGCACCAGAAUCGAG